UUCCUCCGUAGUUGUCGCCGCCGUCGGUGAUGUCUCUUCUGACGGAACAAUCUACUUAAUCGGCGGAGCCAUCGCCGUUGCACUCGUCGGAACUGCAUUUCCGAUCCUCUUCAAACGCAAAGACACGUAAACCACUCUCAUCUUUUUAUAUGUCUUGUGAAUUAAACCGGUUUUAAUGCUCGUUAAACCAAAAUUGGACUGAUUAAUUGCAGAAGAUUCCCAUAGUUUAUUGUCCGGUUCAACAUUCGAGUUAUCUUAACCGUACUAAAUCCUCUCUUAUGGAUAAACUCUUAACCGAUGUAGUAAACCGAAAGAGAGAUCGUACAUUGUGAAAUUAAGCUAUGAAAAUGUAUGGUUUAGGUGUCCGGAAUGUGACGGAGCAGGAUUUGUGAGGAAAGGAGGAGUGACUCUGAGAGCGAAUGCAGCACGCAAGGAUCUUCCUCAGAUCGUUUGUGCUAACUGCAAUGGACUGGGAAAGCUUAACCAGAUUGAUAAAUCAUAAGAGAGUCUUCAUAUUUAUGUAAAAGCUCCAUUUUUUAUUCCUCUUCUUCUCUACAAUAUACCUCUGCAAGAGAAGAUAGCUUGGAAUGAUCAAUGGUUGCUUGGAGAUGGAUGGAUAUAUAAUUUUAAUUGUAAGUUUAUUUGCUUUCUUGUUCUGUAAGAAAUUGUCUUGAGUAUUAUUGUAAUUGUAUACUGUAUUCGAAAUUGUAGACCAAGACCCAAACGUCUUAAAAAUAUCUAAAUGCUGGAUAAGUAAUUAGAGACUGUAACCAAAAUUGCCAAGACGAACAAUAAUCUAGUGCUGGCAAAUCCU
rnacentral:lncRNA from 1 species